GAAUCAAUCAUCAUCUCGAUGAUGGUUUACGAUUGGGAGUAAUUUGAGAAUUAAUUAUACAUAUCUCAAAUUCUCAACUCUUAAGAAUAUGUAUCUUAAGUAUUAAUUUUUUGAAUGAUUCAAGGACACAAUAACAAGAAUGGAUAAAAACCUACCCAUUUUACUAAUUUGAAUAAAUCAAUUAUAAAUUUAUGUCUUGGAAUUAUUAUAUUGUGUCAACUAAUAAUUGACUUUUCAAGUCAUACAUCUAACACCACUAACCCCCAUAUC
rnacentral:lncRNA from 1 species